rnacentral:rRNA from 1 species
UUUUAGAGUCCGAGUUGUAAUUUGCAGAGGGCGCUUUGGCUUUGGCAGCGGUCCAAGUUCCUUGGAACAGGACGUCACAGAGGGUGAGAAUCCCGUACGUGGUCGCUGGCUAUUGCCGUGUAAAGCCCCUUCGACGAGUCGAGUUGUUUGGGAAUGCAGCUCUAAAUGGGAGGUACAUUUCUUCUAAAGCUAAAUAUUGGCCAGAGACCGAUAGCGCACAAGUAGAGUGAUCGAAAGAUGAAAAGCACUUUGGAAAGAGAGUCAAACAGCACGUGAAAUUGUUGAAAGGGAAGCGCUUGCAGCCAGACUUGCUUACAGUUGCUCAUCCGGGUUUCUACCCGGUGCACUCUUCUGUAGGCAGGCCAGCAUCAGUUUGGGCGGUAGGAUAAAGGUCUCUGUCACGUACCUCCUUUCGGGGAGGCCUUAUAGGGGAGACGACAUACUACCAGCCUGGACUGAGGUCCGCGCAUCUGCUAGGAUGCUGGCGUAAUGGCUGUAAGCGGCCCGUCUUGAAACACGGACCAAGGAGUCUAACAUCUAUGCGAGUGUUUGGGUGUCAAGCCCGAGCGCGUAAUGAAAGUGAACGGAGGUGGGAACCCGCAAGGGUGCACCAUCGACCGAUCCUGAUGUCUUCGGAAGGAUUUGAGUAAGAGCAUGGCUGUUGGGACCCGAAAGAUGGUGAACUAUGCUUGAAUAGGGUGAAGCCAGAGGAAACUCUGGUGGAGGCUCGCAGCGGUUCUGACGUGCAAAUCGAUCGUCAAAUUUGGGCAUAGGGGCGAAAGACUAAUCGAACUAUCUAGUAGCUGGUUCCUGCCGAAGUUCCCCC